rnacentral:rRNA from 1 species
UGGGGAAUUUUGCACAAUGGGGGAAACCCUGAUGCAGCGACGCCGCGUGAUUUAGAAGGCCUUCGGGUUGUAAAAAUCUUUUCUAUGGGAAGAAAAUGACAGUACCAUAGGAAUAAGGACUGGCUAAUUACGUGCCAGCACCCGCGGUAAUACGUAAGGUCCGAGCGUUGUCCGGAAUCAUUGGGCGUAAAGGGUACGUAGGCGGGUAAGCAAGUUAGAAGUGAAAUCCUGUAGCUCAACUACAGUAAGCUUUUAAAACUGCUCAUCUUGAGAUAUGGAAGGGAAAGUGGAAUUCCUAGUGUAGCGGUGAAAUGCGCAGAUAUUAGGAGGAAUACCGGUGGCGAAGGCGACUUUCUGGCCAUAAUCUGACGCUGUGGUACGAAAGCGUGGGUAGCAAACAGG